AACGAACGCUGGCGGCGCGCCUAAUACAUGCAAGUCGAGCGAGAGGACGUAGCAAUACGUUUGUAAAGCGGCGAACGGGUGAGGAAUACAUGGGUAACCUACCCUCGAGUGGGGAAUAACUAGCCGAAAGGUUAGCUAAUACCGCGUACGCUCCUUGGACUUCGGUUCAGGGAGGAAAGCGAUACCGUGGGUAUCGCGCUCUUGGAUGGGCUCAUGUCCUAUCAGCUUGUUGGUGAGGUAACGGCUCACCAAGGCUUCGACGGGUAGCUGGUCUGAGAGGACGAUCAGCCACACUGGCACUGCGACACGGGCCAGACUCCUACGGGAGGCAGCAGUAAGGAAUAUUGCGCAAUGGGCGAAAGCCUGACGCAGCGACGCCGCGUGGGGGAUGAAGGUCUUCGGAUUGUAAACCCCUUUCGGGAGGGAAGAUGGAACGAGCAAUCGUUCGGACGGUACCUCCAGAGCAGCCACGGCUAACUUCGUGCCAGCAGCCG
rnacentral:rRNA from 1 species